CACCUUGGACAUUGGGGAUGUCUCUGAAUCUGGAUCUUCAGCUGAGUGUUCAUCUGUUAAACUAAAGAAUGUUGUGGGUGAAGCCAGUGCCUCUUCAUCCAGUUCCGCCCCCUCAGAGUCAGUCACUGUCACCUGAUAGACUUGGUGAUUGUUCAGUUCUUCUUUCGUUUUCUUAAAUUUGUGGAUAACAAGUAUAUAAGUAGGAAAUAUUUCAUUUGAGAUGGGAGAGAUUUGCAUAUAUUGCUUGGAUAUGGUUGUGUAGUUCUGAGGUGCUUGUUCCCACUA
rnacentral:misc_RNA from 1 species